rnacentral:rRNA from 1 species
AUUGAACGCUGGCGGCAUGCCUUACACAUGCAAGUCGAACGGCAGCACGGGAGCAAUCCUGGUGGCGAGUGGCGAACGGGUGAGUAAUAUAUCGGAACGUGCCCAGUCGUGGGGAUAACGUAGAGAAAUUUACGCUAAUACCGCAUACGAUCUAAGGAUGAAAGCGGGGGACCGUAAGGCCUCGCGCGAUUGGAGCGGCUGAUAUCAGAUUAGGUUGUUGGUGAGGUAAAAGCUCACCAAGCCGACGAUCUGUAGCUGGUUUGAGAGAACGACCAGCCACACUGGGACUGAGACACGGCCCAGACUCCUACGGGAGGCAGCAGUGGGGAAUUUUGGACAAUGGGCGAAAGCCUGAUCCAGCAAUGCCGCGUGCAGGAAGAAGGCCUCGGUUGUAAC